GAUGAACGCCCGCUACAGGCUUAACACAUGCAAGUCGCAGGGUAACAUGAGGAAAGCUUGCUUUCCUUGAUGACGACUGGCGCACGGGUGAGUAACGCGUAUCCAACCUUCCCAUAACUACGGGAUAACCCGUUGAAAGACGGCCUAAUACCGUAUGAUAUCGUUUGCUGACAUCAAAUAACGAUUAAAGGUUUAGCGGUUAUGGAUGGGGAUGCGUCUGAUUAGCUUGUUGGCGGGGUAACGGCCCACCAAGGCGACGAUCAGUAGGGGUUCUGAGAGGAAGGUCCCCCACAUUGGAACUGAGACACGGUCCAAACUCCUACGGGAGGCAGCAGUGAGGAAUAUUGGUCAAUGGGCGAGAGCCUGAACCAGCCAAGUAGCGUGCAGGACGACGGCCCUAUGGGUUGUAAACUGCUUUUAUGUGGGGAUAAAGUGCGUGACGUGUCAUGCAUUGCAGGUACCACAUGAAUAAGGACCGGCUAAUUCCGU
rnacentral:rRNA from 1 species